UACGUAGGUCCCGAGCGUUGUCCGGAUUUAUUGGGCGUAAAGCGAGCGCAGGCGGUUUCUUAAGUCUGGAGUAAAAGGCAGUGGCUCAACCAUUGUACGCUCUGGAAACUGGGAGACUUGAGUGCAGAAGGGGAGAGUGGAAUUCCAUGUGUAGCGGUGAAAUGCGUAGAUAUAUGGAGGAACACCGGUGGCGAAAGCGGCUCUCUGGUCUGUAACUGACGCUGAGGCUCGAAAGCGUGGGUAGC
rnacentral:rRNA from 1 species